CCCAGCUCUCAGUCAGCUGACCAGUCGGUGUGUCUGGAUCAGUGUUACAGUGCUGGUAGAGGAAGUCUCUGUACCUGGUCUCAGCUGUGCAGGGUCUGUUUUAGACUCUGUGCUUCUGAGCUGCUGCAGAGCGCGGCCCAACGAGAGUGGCCUGUCCUGAUCCAACAGGGCAGGCCUAGUACAGGGCCGCACAUU